CCCUCUUUCCUCAAUGGAGCGUCCACCCCAAGGUCCCCUGACACGGUCUGCACUGAGGUCACCAGCAAAGGCCAAGACAGCAAGACCAGGCCCAAAAGAUGGAAACUACAGGGAGGCCAGUUUAGACUUGAUUGAAGCCAACAGGAUUCCAAAUUGAUGUAGUGGCAGAGGUUGCAACUGGGCUCAAGCAGGAUGAAAACCUUCCAGGAUGGCCAGCAGAGGAGAGCACGCACUCCAUAGUCAAGAGCCAGGAGGAGAGGGACUUCCCUGGUGGCGCAGUGGGUCUGGAAAAUGGCUCCGCGGGAUCUUGAUAGCGAGGCAGUUUUCAGCUCACCAAAGAUUCAUCUGAUUUUAAAGCCUGAUGCUAAUCCACAGUGCUUGGCCAAGUCUAUGAUUGAUGAACAGAAACAAAACCUGUUUUUACAGCAUAUAAAAUCUGGAUAUAACAGUAUUUUUCAGCACUCUUGAAGAAAAAGCAGUUGGACAAAGGCAGUUCUGCAGUUUAAAACUGGGGCUGCAGAAGUGAUUCUCUACAGCUGUGAAAUAUAAAAAAUGAUACGUUUGAUGAGAAAAGGAAAUCUGUGCCUGGCACAUGGAAAGCUAUUCACUGAGCACCAUAAUCCUGAUGAGGAAAUAGGGGCGCUGUGACCGCUGACUACACCAAAGGUUAUGGAAGCACAAGAACAGCCUUUGUCAACCUAACCUUAACUAUGGGGACCUGUGCUCAUAAGAGAACAAGCUUUAAAAAUAUCAGUUUUCAAUAGCCCAAGAUAGGGAAAUGUUCAUUUGCACCAGAAUGCAGACAGCCACAAUACAGUACAGCAUACAUAACAAUACAGUGGUUUUUAAAUAGAAGGUUCUCCUCCUCCAAUUCAGGAGCAAGUCGGAGCAUAAAGAUUGUUUGUGUGACUCUGGAAACUGAUUCUCUUUGACAAGCAUCUGAGGUAGAGAGGAAGCUGGACCCCACCAGGCUUCACGGCCACCCCAGCCCUUCCAACCACCACUGUCAGCUCCUCUUAAGAGAAGACACCUUACUGACACAUCAAGGCUGGCCAAGGAGCAGCUGGAUGUUUAAUAUUGCCUUGUCACGGGCCACAUUACUCUCAGUUCAAAAGCCAUCAGGUUUCAUUUCUGUAUUUGCCAAAAAUUGAAUAAGAUUCUUUCCUCAGCCCAUGGCACAUUUCUAAGCUUGCCCAGUGCUUUGUAAACUAACGUUGACUUUGUUGCAUGUCUCUGCCCUAUAAUGAAAGCAAGUCAGAGAAAAUAAUUGCCCCAUUUUAAUCUUCCACCCCAGACUAGGCUGCCGGGGCAGAAGAGUCUGGAAAGACCAUUGCUGAGCUCCUGCCCACUAGAACUGUCAGCUUGGUUCCUCAAAAAGAUGGUCUUCGGCUCUCUGCUGUGAGGGAGAAGGAUGUGCACCCUCUUUGUUUAAUUAAACAUUUUAUUUGAGAUAGUUGUAGAUUUGCAUGUGGUUAUAAGAUAAUGUACAGACACAUCCUUGUGUACUCUUUACCUAGUUUCCCCAAUAGUAAAAUCUUCCAAUACCCUAGUGUGAUGUCACAACCAGAAGCACCACAUGGAUUCAGUCAAGGUACACAUUUCCUUCCCCACAAGACUCCUCUUGUUCCCCUUUACAGCCACACCCACCUCCCUCUCCCCGUCCUCAUCCUACACCCCUUAUCCCUGGAUUCUACAUUUCUAUAAACUUGUCACUUAUAGAAAUGUUAUAUAAAUGGAAACACACAGUAUGGAACAUUUUUGUAUUGGCUUUUUUUUUUUUUUCAGUCAGCAUAGAUCCCUGGAGAUUCACCCAGGCUGCUGCAUUUUUACUGCUGCGUAGUACACUGUGAUAUGGAUGGACCACGGCCUGUUUAGUCAUUUACCUGUUGAAGAACAUGGGGUUUUUUUUUCCAGUUUUCGACUAUUAUAAAUAAAGCUGCUAUAAGAAUUUGUGUACAGGUUUCUGUGUAAACAUAAUCUUCAUUUCUUUGGGAUAAAUGCCCAGGAGUGUGAAUGCCGCAUCACACGACAGUUGCAUAUUCAAUUUUAUAAGAAACUGUCAAACUGUUCUACAGAGUGACUAGACCAUUUUACAUUCCCACCACCAAUGUAUGAGUAAUUCAGUUUUUUUGUAUUUUCACCAGUACUUGGUGUUGUCAU